rnacentral:rRNA from 1 species
GACGAACCCUUGCGGCGUGCUUAACACACGCAAGUCGAACGGAAAGGCCCUGCUUUUGUGGGGUGCUCGAGUGGCGAACGGGUGAGUAACACGUGAGUAACCUGCCCUUGACUUUGGGAUAACUUCAGGAAACUGGGGCUAAUACCGGAUAGGAGCUCCUGCUGCAUGGUGGGGGUUGGAAAGUUUCGGCGGUUGGGGAUGGACUCGCGGCUUAUCAGCUUGUUGGUGGGGUAGUGGCUUACCAAGGCUUUGACGGGUAGCCGGCCUGAGAGGGUGACCGGCCACAUUGGGACUGAGAUACGGCCCAGACUCCUACGGGAGGCAGCAGUGGGGAAUAUUGCACAAUGGGCGGAAGCCUGAUGCAGCAACGCCGCGUGCGGGAUGACGGCCUUCGGGUUGUAAACCGCUUUCGCCUGUGACGAAGCGUGAGUGACGGUAAUGGGUAAAGAAGCACCGGCUAACUACGUGCCAGCAGCCGCGGUGAUACGUAGGGUGCGAGCGUUGUCCGGAUUUAUUGGGCGUAAAGGGCUCGUAGGUGGUUGAUCGCGUCGGAAGUGUAAUCUUGGGGCUUAACCCUGAGCGUGCUUUCGAUACGGGUUGACUUGAGGAAGGUAGGGGAGAAUGGGAUUCCUGGUGGAGCGGUGGAAUGCGCAGAUAUCAGGAGGAACACCAGUGGCGAAGGCGGUUCUCUGGGCCUUUCCUGACGCUGAGGAGCGAAAGCGUGGGGAGCGAACAGGCUUAGAUACCCUGGUAGUCCACGCUGUAAACGGUGGGUACUAGGUGUGGGGUCCAUUCCACGGGUUCCGUGCCGUAGCUAACGCUUUAAGUACCCCGCCUGGGGAGUACGGCCGCAAGGCUAAAACUCAAAGGAAUUGACGGGGCCCCGCACAAGCGGCGGAGCAUGCGGAUUAAUUCGAUGCAACGCGUAGAACCUUACCUGGGUUUGACAUGGAUCGGGAGUGCUCAGAGAUGGGUGUGCCUCUUUUGGGGUCGGUUCACAGGUGGUGCAUGGCUGUCGUCAGCUCGUGUCGUGAGAUGUUGGGUUAAGUCCCGCAACGAGCGCAACCCUUGUUCACUGUUGCCAGCACGUUAUGGUGGGGACUCAGUGGAGACCGCCGGGGUCAACUCGGAGGAAGGUGGGGAUGACGUCAAGUCAUCAUGCCCCUUAUGUCCAGGGCUUCACGCAUGCUACAAUGGCUGGUACAGAGAGUGGCGAGCCUGUGAGGGUGAGCGAAUCUCGGAAAGCCGGUCUCAGUUCGGAUUGGGGUCUGCAACUCGACCUCAUGAAGUCGGAGUCGCUAGUAAUCGCAGAUCAGCAACGCUGCGGUGAAUACGUUCCCGGG